rnacentral:lncRNA from 1 species
CCAAGUAAAAUUGCGCUGAUGUUGCGUGUAUGAACAUAUGUUCUUGUGACAUUGAAAAUUAAGUAGAAAGUUCGGUAAUAAACUAUAUGUACUAUCUUUAUUGAUUAUUUAGUGUGUUAUUUUUGAACAAAAAUGAACUUGCGGUUAAAUUACAUUGAAUUGUUUGUUGAGAUGAUACAAAAAACGAAGCUCAACGUAUUUCAUAUGACAUAGUACAUACCUAACAUGCACAUAUGUACCUAAGUAUGAACAGGAUGGAAGAAACUAAGAAACCACUUGUGAGUGCCAUUGCCUGAUUCGAUAUACAGCUUAAAAUUGCUCAAAUACAGAAUAGAAUAAUGGAUAAAAUUUGCUUAUUAGAAUUGAGGGUUAUUGGAAGCUGGUCUCCUCAGAGAAAUGGGAGGAGCACGAGAUGAAGCAAGUGGUUUGCUUUGCUUUGCUUCUGGUGCAGCACUGAAGCAUAAUAAUUAAAUUCACAAAGCUAGGUAAUCAGCAGCAGUGUCCGAAAUGCCUUCCAAGCAGGCUCUCGUAAUCAUCAUAAUAUUUGGUUGCCCUUUUCAUAUAUUCCUACUGUCUCAUUUCGCACCCAGAGACAAGCUAUGUCUGUCACAUUGUCCACCCAACAACUAAUUUCCGCCUGUUUAAAGUGAAAGGCUCUGCAGAUCGAGAAGUUCUUCAGUAUGGCUGUCAUGGCUGUCGACCAUGCCACCCGUCUAGCAAAAAUGCACACAAUAGAACUCCUUGCAUUCGAGUUCCACACGAGCUCAUGUUGGUAGCACCAAAUGCAAGCUCACUUUAUGUGCGACUUAGACAGGCGGGUGGACAUGGCGCGGUAGCUCUACCCACGAAUUUCUCAUGCCAAUCUUACUCUCUCAUCGCCAUCUGCAACUGCAUGCCAUGUUGCCCUACUCUGCAUAUAUACAAAUAUCAUGACUCAGCAAAUUAAUUCAACUCCUUCCCUUUAACUAAUAAUUCUAAAAGAAAAAGGCAAGCAGGAAAAAAUGAACCGUGUUUUGAGAAAAUUAAACCCCACUUCACCAAACGUAACCCUAAUCUUACAUCAUUCGUAUUUCUGGUACGGGGGCAGUGACUCAGCGGUGACCUAAAGUAUGCAAUAAUAACCGGAGCAUGGUACAGGAAAGUCUAAC